rnacentral:ncRNA from 2 species
AUUUCAUUAUUGCCCGUUGGUGAAGGGGAUGAGAGUCCAUUCUCUUCUUAAAAGGGAAGCUGGUGGAAAUCCAGCGCGGUCCCGCCACUGUAAAGCUGAGAUUUCUUAUAUAGGACCACUGUUUCUUUUCGAAGCGGGAAGGGAUAAGAAAUCGGCGAAGCUGAGCCAGGAGACCUGCCAAUCGGGAAGAACACAU